AUGAUUAUGAGUUUAUACAUUUCAUUUGCUAAGCUUUCAAAACUCACAGUUUUCACCUGUGUAAAAAUCAAUACAAAUUUCAGCUUUUCUUACAUGAUAACAGCAAAUAAUUUCGACACUGCAUCAAUAAUUGAACUUAAAUAAUUUAAAGAGGAACAACAUUUUCCAUUUAAGAUUCAUCUUAAAUGCAAUCAAGCUCUUUUGGACAACAAGUGACAAGUGUCUGGCCGUUUAGUACAUCUCAAAGAUGUUGCUUUGAGUUUGCUGGUACUCAUACUUUUGUGAGGUACUGUUUAAGCUGCAUACAGAUCGAACUACCUUUUCAACGCAUUUACAGGGUAUGCCGAAUUGUGCACACAUUGCAAAUGCCGUAGGACAGCUGAAAUGUGGAGCUGUGAAUGGCAAGUGGCAAUUGAAGGGAGGGAAACGGUGAAGGGUGAAGGGUAAGGGGGAGCGGAAGCCUACUGUUGGGCCAGCAACUCUGGCAAUCGCAUGCAAUUUCUGCCACUUUGUUGCUGCCUCGCAGCAACCCAAACAUGUGACCAGACAUCGAAGCAACUGCAAAACCCGGCUAUAAACUCAAACCAAGACUCGAUACACGCACUGACAGCAGGCGUUUUUUUUUCGCUCGUUGUUGUUGUUAUUUGCCAUGUGUGUGUGUGUGUGUGUGUGUGUUUUUUCGUAGCUGUUGCUGCAUUUAAUUUACUGUUUUUUGUGCUGCACUGGCAAAUGUCAAAUGUUGGCACGAUAAUCGCUGUUGCUGCUGCUGCUGCUGCUGCUGCUGCAACUCGGACUCUAAUGUAAUGAGGCACGAAACCUUUAAAGCGACGACCAAAUUGCCUUUAAAUAAGUAUCAUCUUACGCUCCAAUCGCAUGCUUCUAAGUGUAUGUGUGUGUGUGUAGAGUGGCAAGUUGACAAGCGAUGCAAGCGAUAACAGAGACAGGCUAUAGGCAAAGGGUUCCCAACUCGUGGAAUAAUUGAUAGCAACAUCAACUGUGCUCGCAGAUCUGAUCUAAAUAAUGAUCAAGAUAGCAAAAGAACAAGGACAACGCAGCAUAGAUUCUUUAAUUAUAUCAAUUAAACUCGGUAUAAA